AUUGAACGCUGGCGGCAUGCCUUACACAUGCAAGUCGAACGGUAACGCGGGGGCAACCCUGGCGACGAGUGGCGAACGGGUGAGUAAUACAUCGGAACGUACCCAGUAGUGGGGGAUAGCUCGGCGAAAGCCGGAUUAAUACCGCAUACGACCUAUGGGUGAAAGCGGGGGAUCGCAAGACCUCGCGCUAUUGGAGCGGCCGAUGUCGGAUUAGCUAGUUGGUGAGGUAAAGGCCACC
rnacentral:rRNA from 1 species